GACGAACGCUGGCGGCGUGCUUAACACAUGCAAGUCGAACGGAAAGGCCCUGCUUUUGUGGGGUGCUCGAGUGGCGAACGGGUGAGUAACACGUGAGUAACCUGCCCUUGACUUUGGGAUAACUUCAGGAAACUGGGGCUAAUACCGGAUAGGAGCUCCUGCUGCAUGGUGGGGGUUGGAAAGUUUCGGCGGUUGGGGAUGGACUCGCGGCUUAUCAGCCUGUUGGUGGGGUAGUGGCUUACCAAGGCCUUGACGGGUAGCCGGCCUGAGAGGGUGACCGGCCACAUUGGGACUGGGAUACGGCCCAGACUCCUACGGGAGGCAGCAGUGGGGAAUAUUGCACAAUGGGCGGAAGCCUGAUGCAGCAACGCCGCGUGCGGGAUGACGGCCUUCGGGUUGUAAACCGCUUUCGCCUGUGACGAAGCGUGAGUGACGGUAAUGGGUAAAGAAGCACCGGCUAACUACGUG
rnacentral:rRNA from 1 species